CACGUCUGUGCGGCACUGUCUUGUUAAU
rnacentral:piRNA from 1 species